rnacentral:rRNA from 1 species
GGGAAACUUGGGCUAACACCGGAUACGCCCUUCGGGGGAAAAAUUUAUUGCCGAAGGAUCGGCCCGCGUCGGAUUAGCUUGUUGGUAGGGUAAAAGCCUACCAAGGCGACGAUCCGUAGCUGGUCUGAGAGGAUGAUCAGCCACACUGGGACUGAGACACGGCCCAGACUCCUACGGGAGGCAGCAGUGGGGAAUAUUGGACAAUGGGCGCAAGCCUGAUCCAGCCAUGCCGCGUGGGUGAAGAAGGCCUUAGGGUUGUAAAUCCCUUUCAGCGGGGAAGAUAAUGACGGUACCCGCAGAAGAAGCCCCGGCUAACUCCGUGCCAGCAGCCGCGGUAAUACGGAGGGGGCUAGCGUUGUUCGGAAUUACUGGGCGUAAAGCGCGCGUAGGCGGACCUGCAAGUCGGGGGUGAAAGCCCGAGGCUCAACCUCGGAACUGCCUUCGAUACUGCGGGUCUUGAGUCCGGGAGAGGUGAGUGGAAUUCC